AUUGCCUUUCAACUCCGCCUGACAACAUGAUUUCUCCGAACCAACCGAAAGGUGACUGUUAGAGCACGAAACUUCUUGAAAAUCAGUGACAGAAACUUCAGCAAGAGCAUCAUCACAUUGUUUCAAUCGGUUAAGAACCAGAAAAAUGAGUUGAAGGGUUUACUGUAUCAGCCUCCAAUGAUUUAACGAUUUAACAGUUUUAUCUUCCUCUCAGCCUCAACAACACUCUCAUCUUCAAUCAGCCUCCAAUCAAAGCACAAUAUAUUUGCUUUUUUGCUAAACUGGUCUUUUUUUAAAUUUUCAGAAAUUGUUUUAAUGUCCCUGUGUUUUCUCUGUGUUUUCAUGUAUUGUGUUUUCAUAUUUCAUAUUCCAAUCCAUUUCUCUAUUCCAAAGCUCCGGUUAGGGAUACUCUACAAACUUCAUUUGGUUAAACUCUAAAGCUGCGAUUAUAAGAAUGCCAAGGUUAGUGAUGGUGGUUCUGUAGAUGGAUGAAGGUGCGUGAGUGGUUAAAGAUCGUUGCUGGACCGAGAUGGAAAACAUUCGUUCAACUAUUCAAUACAUUAAGAGCCGUAACGUGAAUGUUAAAUAAGUUUCAUUAAACUACGAUCAGUUGAGUUUCGCUCUCAACUUCGAUGACAAGGAUGGUGGCAACAGCGGGGAGUAUAGUUUUGUUUACGGUUACAGUGAUUUUUCUUCGCGUUUUGUUUCUGUUCCGGCGUCGGCGAAAUGUUUGAUGGUUCUAGGAAAAGAACAUUAAGCAAGCAUGUCUCCUCAAAUCCUUCUUGAAUACUAUAUGGCCUGUUCGAAAAUCAAUCUCCUAAUAAUACCUAUAAUAAUACUUAUUGAUUCAGGUUAAUUACCAAGAGGAUUAUUAGCAUUAAAUUUUCUAUAAAUCAAAAUGUUUUCAUGAUAUACAUGUCCUGCAGAAUUCAAACCUUACAAGAUAAUUAAUAUACUGAAAAUUAUUCAAAAUGUAGCCUGUCAUUAUGCUUGGACAUUUGUUUUAAGCAAUUUUAA